rnacentral:rRNA from 1 species
UACGGGAGGCAGCAGUGGGGAAUAUUAGACAAUGGGCGAAAGCCUGAUCCAGCCAUGCCGCGCGUGUGAAGAAGGUAUUCGGAUUGUAAAGCACUUUAAGCUGGGAGGAAGGGCAUUCACUUAAUACGUUAUUGUUUUGACGUUACCGACAGAAUAAGCACCGGCUAACUCU